AUCUAGGUUCUUCAACAAAAUGGAUUUAAAUAACUAAACCCUAGCUGAUUUAAAAUUGCAAAUUAAAAUUAAUUUACCUGGCAUUCCAGGUAGAUUCCGUUUUUUCUUUGCUGCUUCUUUACAAGGAGCUGUCUGAUCACCAGAAGACAAUACACUCACUUCACCAGAGCCCACGCAAUCAUUCAUGGCGUAUGAAAUAGAAUACUUCUAGGGUUUAUGUAGUGCCUAAAAUGUAAAAAAUCUACACCAUUUCUA
rnacentral:misc_RNA from 1 species